rnacentral:rRNA from 1 species
CAGCACGGUAAUACGAGGGGGGCUAGCGUUGUUCGGAAUUACUGGGCGUAAAGGGCGCGUAGGCGGCCAUUCAAGUUAGAUGUGAAAGCCCUGGGCUCAACCUAGGAAUUGCAUUUGAUACUGUUUGGCUUGAGUUCGGGAGAGGUGAGUGGAAUUCCCAGUGUAGAGGUGAAAUUCGUAGAUAUUGGGAAGAACACCAGUGGCGAAGGCGGCUCACUGGACCGACACUGACGCUGAGGCGCGAAAGCGUGGGGAGCAAACAGGAUUAGAUACCCCUGUAGUCCCUGUCUCUUAUACACAU